rnacentral:rRNA from 2 species
CUUCACACUGUGCGAAAGCACGAUGAGGGAAUCCCAAGUGCCAGCUCGUAAGAGUUGGCUGUUUUUCUGUCUAAAACACAGAGAGAGUAAGAGCUGGGUAAGACGGGUGCCAGCCGCCGCGGUAAUACCUGCAGCUCGAGUGGUGACCGUUAUUAUUGGGCCUAAAACGUCCGUAGCCGGUUUAGUAAAUGCCUGGGUAAAUCGUGUAGCUUAACUAUACGAAUUCCGGGUAGACUGCUAAACUUGAGACCGGGAGAGGCUAGAGGUACUCCUGGGGUAGAGGUGAAAUUCUGUAAUCCUGGGGGGACCACCAGUGGCGAAGGCGUCUAGCUAGAACGGAUCUGACGGUGAGGGACGAAGCCCUGGGGCGCAAACCGGAUUAGAUACCCGGGUAGUCCAGGGUGUAAACGCUGCUUGCUUGAUGUUAGUCGGGCUCCGAGCCCGAUUAGUGUCGGAGAGAAGUUGUUAAGCAAGCUGCCUGGGAAGUACGGUCGCAAGACUGAAACUUAA